rnacentral:rRNA from 1 species
AUCAACGCUGGCGGCGUGCCUCAGACAUGCAAGUCGAACGAUUAAAGCUCUCUUCGGAGAGUGUAUAGAGUGGCGCACGGGUGAGUAACACGUAAGUAAUCUACCCUCGAGUGGGGAAUAACGUCCGGAAACGGACGCUAAUACCGCAUAAUGCAGCGGCACCGCAAGGUGACAGUUGUUAAAGAUUUUAUCGCUUGAGGAGGAGCUUGCGGCAGAUUAGCUUGUUGGUAAGGUAAUGGCUUACCAAGGCUACGAUCUGUAACCGGUCUAAGAGGACGGUCGGUCACACUGACACUGAAUAACGGGUCAGACUCCUACGGGAGGCAGCAGUCGGGAAUUUUGGGCAAUGGGCGAAAGCCUGACCCAGCAACGCCGCGUGAAGGAUGAAGUAUUUCGGUAUGUAAACUUCGAAAGAAUGGGAAGAAUCAAUGACGGUACCAUUUAUAAGGUCCGGCUAACUACGU